rnacentral:lncRNA from 1 species
UAUAUGGAAUUUCUUUAUAAAUAGUAAAGCACUAUACCGAUUUAAUAAUAGUUUUUAUUGCUCUAAUUAAGAAAGGGAUGACUAAUAGAAACCUAAGACAAACAAAAUUUUAAAAACACUGAAAUUUAUGUCAUUUUUUUCUUAGUGGUAUAGGCUCUUUGGAGGUGGCUUGAUAUGAUUACCCAGUUUCCUAGGUUUUGAUUUUAAAACCUUAAAGUUCAUUUUUGACAAUGAUAUUUCUUAAAAUAGAAGGUAAAAAAUUUAAAUAACCAAAUAUGACGGAAAAAAUUGAUAUUGUAGUAUUGGACUCUAGUUCAGUGGUUCUUAAACUUUAGUGUACUUAGGAAUUACCUUGGGUGUUUGUUAAAAUUCAGAUUUCUGAGCUCCAUCCCUAACAGACUUCCGUCCUGGAUUUUAGCCGGUCCACAUAUAUUAGAAAACACUACUUUACUUUGCUAUUGUACAUCAUAAUCACGAGGGAAGUUUUAAAUGCACAGAUUUCUAGGUUCUACUUCCAGAUAUCCUAAAUCUGAAUCUUUAGACUGAUAUUCAUGGAUCUGUAUUUUACAAAAACUACAUCAUGGAUUCUAAUAAUAUUGCAAAUUUAGAGAUUCCUUGCUCUUGUUUUUAAGGUAUAUUAUUAAAAUUAUAUUUACUCUUGCACCUGAAUUCAUUCUCAUAGUUCACAUUAUUCUUGCACUUUACUUAGAUAAGUUGAUACUGCUAUGUAAGAAAAGUUUAGGCUUGAAUAACAGUAAGAGUUUGCCAUAUAAUAGCAAAAUUAAGGAAAAGCGAAGUUACUGAGCACCUUUUACAUAAAUUACUUAAUCUUUAUAGCUCUUGUUUUCCACCUAUGUUACAGGCAAAAACCCUGAAACUCAGGGUAAAUCGCCAAGUUCACACAGCUGUUAAGUGUCAACACCAGGAUUCAGAACCUAUACUCUUUCUACUAUACCAUAUUAACCAUAUUAUUUUUCCCCAAUCCAAUAAGUCUUUACCAAGUUUCUAUUAUGUUAAGUGAUAAUGUUUAGCUUUGAGGGCCACAAAGUCCUUUAUUUACAUGAUAUAAUAAUUAUUGCUUAUACCAUAUAAAAGUCAUUGAGAUUUUUUUAUUCUUUCGUUGAGAAAUAAUUUUUAGCUGGAGGUAGAAUUCAAGUUUUCCGAAUAUUAAGAAGGCUUCUGAUUAUGAAAAAUAAUCAUAAUUUAAUGAGUUGUUAAAAAACGUUGUCUAUGAGAUCUCUUUCAGCAACCAUGCCUUUACUAUGAAGUAUUUUAAUCCAGUUUACAGAUAAGGAAAGCCAGAUUUGGGAUGAGUAAGUGUCUUACCCAAGUUUGCAGAUCUAGUAAGUGGAGAACUGGUAUUAAACUCUGGUUCAAUAUAACUUUGACAGCAAAGCUAGCACCUUUAACCACCAGUACAUACAAUCUCUGCCUGUGGUUUAGAGUUAACCUGAAGAAUGAGGCUUUCCCUUUAUUUAAGUACAAAGUCACUAAAUGCUAAUUAAACUUUGUUAGACUUAAUUUCCUUUGUAGGGAACAAACCAUUUUGUCACUCUUUAAUCAGUCCAGUAAUUUUUUUUUAAAUCUUGUAAAGUUUGUUAACUCUGCCUAAUGCCUUAGGGAAGUCAGUUGAAGUGAACAAUCUCUUGUUUAUAUUUUUAUUUGAGAGUUCAAACUCUUCAAUGGAACAGACUAUUUAAAUGAAAAUUUCAAUUUUUACCUUUUAUGACAUACCAUGAGCACACAAAUUUCAUGGCCUCCAUAGCCAUUGUUAUUGGUCUUAAAAUAAUUGAUUUGCAGUUAAAAUAAAAUAAAAAUAUUAAUAGAAUCAAUGCAUCAGUGCUUCAUAAAAUCCAAAAACUGAUUCCUGAGCAUUUGAUGUUCCUUAUUUUUUAAAAAAUGCCUCAUGGUAUAAAAUGACAACCUAUGUGUACAGUAUAGUGUACAAACUAAUACAACUUCUCAGUUACCUGGCAUAUGAAUUGCUAAAAAUGUUAUAUUUAUGAAUUUUUAUACAUUUAAUAAUAUUUUAAAUGCAGUAGGAAUAUUAACAGUUUUGAAGCUCUACAAAGUAUCUUUUAGUUGUGAAAAUAAUCAUGAUAUUAUAAAUUUGGUAUGCAUGUAUUUUGGUGAUAUUAUUGAUGUUUCUAUAAUUAUAUAUUAAAACAUACAUUUUAAAAAAGACUCACAAAGUCAAUAACCAGGGAUACAGUGUUGUCAUUAGAAGACUUUCAAGUUUAUUGAAAAAUUGAGUUUAUUUCAACUUUCUUCUCUAGGUGUAGUCUUUCCCAAACAGUAUUCUUUUAAAUUCUGUCAAGCAAAUGAAUGCUACCAUAAAGAGAGGAGGGUGAAAAUAUAAAAUGAAGACUCUUAUAAUCCUUUUUCUGAUGUAGAAAUUAAAACAUGAUUUUUUUUUUUUUAAGAAAGUCCCAUUUAGCAGCAGAGCAUAAAUUGGAAAAUUUGGUCAGUGAUUUAUUUAGGCUCCACAGGGAAAAUCCUGUAGGGUGUUUUUGAAUAUCCUAAAUUUAUUUUGAUUUGAGACUAGCUUAAAGGGCAUGUCUAUCUUAAAACAGUUCUCCAUUUUCCUGAGAAAAAUUCCAGUGGAACUAGUUGUGGGAGGUUGUAUCCCAACAAUGAACCUUUGGGGCCAAAUGAGCACUUUAACACAACUUACUCCAUCCCAUUCCUUAAACUGAAGACUUUCUUGCCCACUGGGCUUGUUUAACUUUGCUAAUUUUAUUUCUCUGCAGAGGCAAAGGGGACAG